CACGAAGUUAGCCGAGACUUAUUCCUACGAUACUGUCCUUUCACAUCUCGCAGAAAAGUGCUUUACGACCCGAAGGCCUUCAUCGCACACGCGGCGUUGCUGCUUCAGGCUUUCGCCCAUUGAGCAAUAUUCCCUA
rnacentral:rRNA from 1 species